UACGGCCACAUCACGUUGAAACACCGGUUCUCGUACGAUCACCGAAGUUAAGCAACGUCGAUUCAGGUCAGUACCUGGUGACUGCCUGGGAAAACCAAGUGCUGUAA